rnacentral:lncRNA from 1 species
GGAUUGGCUCUCGCGGACGCUGACGGACAGGGCAGGGGAGGGCCAAAGCCCGGUCUGACGGGCGCGCGCGGGGGCGCGAAAGCACGAGAGCGCGGCUGCGCGUGCGCGAGCGGCGGGGCUUUCUCCCGAGCCGUCGGAGGGAGCCGGAGCGCUUCUCCAGAGUUGGUGAUCGAUUGGUCGUAAUCCAACAUGCAGAAGUGAGUGAGUGGUGAAAAGCAGCAGAGCUGAUGGGUUGUGAGGAUGUAAGUGCGUUUGAAGGCUCUCACACCCUCUACUCCAGGUACACUUUCAGGGUCUCAAAGAAGCUCCUCUGUCUGUGAAGGGGCUUGAAGAAGCAUCUUGUUUUACAUCUGAUGAAAAUGGAGGGAGCACUUCUUUUGACAGGAAACUUCACUUCUUGUUACUGAAAACCGUCACAACAGUCAUUAUGUCUGGCUUCCAGAGAUUUCCUGGAGUUAGGAGAACAAUAGAUAGUUAAAAUGGCAAUAUUGAGAGCAUUCGGUGGUUUUAUAAUGAGUACCUAGGGAAAUUUUUUCUCUUGAGUUUGUAAGAAUAAAGUAGGAAUAUUUGGGAGGUUGGGAAAAAUGUAGAAAUGAACUUUAAUGCUUUAUUUUUAAAAAUGUUCUUUCUAACCUUUGGAAGUAAAAAAUUAAUUUUAUACCAUGGUUCCCAUUAUCUUGUUACUGAGUUGACGAUGACUAAGGGAAACUUCCUUUCUUCUGUGCCUAUCUGCAUUGUAAGUAAUCCCCCAAAAAGAUACAUUUAUAUCUUUGUGUCUUUUUUGAUUAAAUGUCAUUCAGAAUUCUUGAAUCUGUUUAUUGCUUCUUAACUUUUAUAUUCGUACAGGGCUUCUGAGGCUUAUGAUUUUGACUUUAGCAGCAGGAGUUAUUUCUCUUCUUUCACCUCCAAAAACAAAAAACACUCAAGCGUUAGAAAGA